CAUGGCCGCGGGAUUAGAGUUUGAUCCUGGCUCAGGAUGAACGCUGGCGGCGUGCUUAACACAUGCAAGUCGAACGAUGAUCCCAGCUCGCUGGGGGAUUAGUGGCGAACGGGUGAGUAACACGUGAGUAACGUGCCCUUAACUCUGGGAUAAGCCUGGGAAACUGGGUCUAAUACCGGAUAUGACUCCUCAUUGCAUGGUGGGGGGUGGAAAGCUUUAUUGUGGUUUUGGAUGGACUGGCGGCCUAUCAGCUCGUUGGUGAGGUAAUGGCUCAGAAGGCGACGACGGGUAGCCGGCUGAGAGGGUGACCGGCCACACUGGGACUGAGACACGGCCCAGACUCCUACGGGAGGCAGCAGUGGGGAAUAUUGCACAAUGGGCGAAAGCCUGAUGCAGCGACGCCGCGUGAGGGAUGACGGCCUUCGGGUUGUAAACCUCUUUCAGUAGGGAAGAAGCGAAAGUGACGGUACCUGCAUAAGAAGCGCCGGCUAACUACGUGCCAGCAGCCCGCGGUAAUACGUAGGGCGCAAGCGUUAUCCGGAAUUAUUGGGCGUAAAGAGCUCGUAGGCGGUUUGUCGCGUCUGCCGUGAAAGUCCGGGGCUCAACUCCGGAUCUGCG
rnacentral:rRNA from 1 species